rnacentral:rRNA from 1 species
CCUACGGGCGGCAGCAGUGGGGAAUAUUGCACAAUGGGGGAAACCCUGAUGCAGCGACGCCGCGUGAGCGAAGAAGUAAUUCGUUACGUAAAGCUCUAUCAGCAGGGACGAAAAUGACGGUACCUGAGUAAGAAGCCCCGGCUAACUACGUGCCAGCAGCCGCGGUAAUACGUAGGGGGCCAGCGUUAUCCGGAUUUACUGGGGGGAAAGGGAGCGUAGACGGGGCGGCAAGUCUGGAGGGAAAUGCCGCAGCUUAACUGCGGAACUGCUUUGGAAACUGGCGAACUAGAGUGCGGGAGGGGUAAGCGGAAUUCCUAGUGUAGCGGUGAAAUGCGUAGAUAUUAGGAGGAACACCGGUGGCGAAGGCGGCUUACUGGACCGUAACUGACGUUGAGGCUCGAAAGCGUGGGGAGCAAACAGGAUUAGAUACCCGUGUAGUC